UAAUAAGUGUUUUAUGGCACUUUUUAAAUCCAUAUCCACCUUGUGUGCAAUGUCAGUCGAUUUUCUUCAUGGAGAUCGACCAAACAUCAACCUAAGUUUUAACUCUUUGUCUGAAAAAUAUUAUGAAUAAACAAUUCAAAAUA
rnacentral:misc_RNA from 1 species